GGUCAAGUAGCUCAGUUGGUUAGAGCGUCGCAAUAAUGUUUACGGUGUGUUUGGAGAUUAACGCGAAGGUGUUGGGUUCAAUUCCCAAAUUGAUCA